rnacentral:rRNA from 1 species
UACGAAGGGUGCUAGCGUUGUCCGGAAUUAUUGGGCGUAAAGAGCUCGUAGGCGGUUUGUCGCGUCUGCUGUGAAAACCCGAGGCUCAACCUCGGGCCUGCAGUGGGUACGGGCAGACUAGAGUGCGGUAGGGGAGACUGGAAUUCCUGGUGUAGCGGUGAAAUGCGCAGAUAUCAGGAGGAACACCGGUGGCGAAGGCGGGGUCUCUGGGCCGUAACUGACGCUGGAGGAGCGAAA